rnacentral:rRNA from 1 species
AGAGUUUGAUCAUGGCUCAGGAUGAACGCUAGCUACAGGCUUAACACAUGCAAGUCGAGGGGAAACGACAUCGAAAGCUUGCUUUUGAUGGGCGUCGACCGGCGCACGGGUGAGUAACGCGUAUCCAACCUGCCCACCACUUGGGGAUAACCUUGCGAAAGUAAGACUAAUACCCAAUGACGUCUCUAGAAGACAUCUGAAAGAGAUUAAAAGAUUUAUCGGUGAUGGAUGGGGGUGCGUCUGAUUAGCUUGUUGGCGGGGUAACGGCCACAAGGCGACGAUCAGUAGGGGUUCUGAGAGGAAGGUCCCCCCANAUUGGAACUGAGACACGGUCCAAACUCCUACGGGAGGCA